rnacentral:rRNA from 1 species
GACGGAGGGUGCAAGCGUUGUUCGGAAUUACUGGGCGUAAAGCGCGUGUAGGCGGUUCGAUAAGUCGGACGUGAAAGCCCGGGGCUUAACCCCGGAAGGGCAUCCGAAACUGUCGAGCUUGAGUACGGGAGAGGGAAGCGGAAUUCCUGGUGUAGAGGUGAAAUUCGUAGAUAUCAGGAGGAACACCGGUGGCGAAGGCGGCUUCCUGGACCGAUACUGACGCUGAGACGCGAAAGCGUGGGGAGCAAACAGG